rnacentral:rRNA from 1 species
GGGNUUAGAUACCCCACUAUAAGGAGCUCAACAACACUCCUCUAAGUANUAAAAUCAACAGGANUAAAANUUAAAGAGCAUGGCGGCUAAUUCAACCUUCAGGGGAACUUACCCAAUAAUAGAUAACCCCCAAGAAAUUCUACUUACAUUUAUAAAGUUUACAUAUCGCCGUCACAAGGAGUGACUUAAGGUUUCUCCAAUAAUCAAACAUCUGCUAUAGGACAGGUCAUGACGUAGCUAAUAAGUAAGCUAGGGCGAGUUACAAUAAACUUUUUUUUCAGAUUUUCUAAAUGAAAAAUUUUAAGAAAUGAAGAUGGACUUGAAAGUAAUAAUUAAAAAUAUAUAGAUUUUGAAUUAAUAUUUUAAAUGAAAUAGUGCACACNCCGCCCGUCNCCC